rnacentral:tRNA from 1 species
AGUAUGGCCGAGCGGUUAAGGCGUUUGACUCGAAAUCAAAUGGGGAUUUCCCCGCGCAGGUUCGAAUCCUGCUGCU